rnacentral:rRNA from 1 species
CAGUAGCCGCGGGAAUACCAGCAGCCCAAGUGGUGGUCGCGAUUAUUGGGCCUAAAGCGCUCGUAGCCGGGCCGGUAAGUCCCUUGUGAAAUCGGACGGCCUAACCGUUCGGCGUGCAAGGGAUACUGUCGGUCUUGAGGCCGGGAGACGUCCGAGGUACUCCGGGGGUAGCGGUGAAAUGUUCUGAUCCUCGGGGGACCACCGGUGGCGAAGGCGUUCGACGAGAACGGGCCUGACGGUGAGGGGCGAAGGCUAGGGGAGCAAACGGGAUUAGAUACCCCCGUAGUCCCUGUCUCUUAUA